rnacentral:rRNA from 1 species
AUUGAACGCUGGCGGCAGGCCUAACACAUGCAAGUCGAGCGGAGCGGCGGACGGGUGAGUAAUGCCUAGGAAUCUGCCUGGUCGUGGGGGAUAACGUCCGGACACGGGCGCUAAUACUGCAUACCAUCAGAUGAGCCUAGGUCGGAUGAGCUAGUUGGUGGGGUAAAGGCCUACCAAGGCGACGAUCCGUAACUGGUCGGAGAGGAUGAUCAGUCCCAAUGGAACGGAGGCACGGUCCAGACUACUACGGGGGGCGGCGGUGGGGAAUAUUGGACAAUGGGCGAAAGCCUGAUCCAGCCAUGCCGCGUGUGUGAAGAAGGUCUUCGGAUUGGAGAGCACUUUAAAGUGGGAUGCGUUACCAACAGAAUAGGCACAGGCUAACUUCGUGCCAGCAGCCGCGGUAAUAC